rnacentral:rRNA from 1 species
GGGCCCGCACAAGCGGCGGAGCAUGCGGAUUAAUUCGAUGCAACGCGAAGAACCUUACCAAGGCUUGACAUACACUGGACCGUUCUGGAAACAGUUCUUCUCUUUGGAGCUGGUGUACGGGUGGUGCAUGGUUGUCGUCAGCUCGUGUCGUGAGAUGUUGGGUUAAGUCCCGCAACGAGCGCAACCCUCGUUCUAUGUUGCCAGCACGUGAUGGUGGGAACUCAUAGGAGACUGCCGGGGUCAACUCGGAGGAAGGUGGGGAUGACGUCAAAUCAUCAUGCCCUUUAUGUCUUGGGCUUCACGCAUGCUACAAUGGCUGGUACAGAGAGAGGCGAACCCGUGAGGGUAAGCGAAUCCCUUAAAGCCAGUCUCAGUUCGGAUCGUAGUCUGCAAUUCGACUACGUGAAGUCGGAGUCGCUAGUAAUCGCAGAUCAGCAACGCUGCGGUGAAUACGUUCCCGGGCCUUGUACACACCGCCCGUCAAGUCACGAAAGUCGGUAACACCCGAAGCCGGUGUCCCAACCCACUUGUGGGAGGGGGCCGUCUAAGGUGGGACUGGU